CUUCGGCCCGGGACGGACCAUCGGCCGCCCUGUCGGGGGAGUCAGGAUGCACAAAGUUUCCAAAAAGUUCUGCCAGUCGCUGCCGCACCCCGCUCGGGGCAGAGCUUAACUUAGCAAAGCAUGACUCCUCUUCCUGGAUGGACCCAAGCAGACUGUUGCUUGACUUAUUACUGAAGCUGCACAUCACCCAGAAGCAAGAAUUCAUCACUAAAGGGAGCACCACGUACUUCAAGAAGUAGAUAAACCUGCCUUACCCUCCUGCAACCAUCCAGCACUUGUUGGGUGCUCUGCCUAGCUCAGAGGAUGCUAAGUGGAGCAACACAAUGGACAGACUUAUUGACAGUAGCACAGUGUGAUGAGAAUGGAAAGAAGAAGAGAUAUUUAGGAAGACAGCUCUUCAAAUAUGCGGCACUUUGGGAGUCAUGAUGAUGAGUGUGCAGUAUGUGAACCCGGAAUGGCUUCUUCAGUGUGUCCUUUAGCUCUCUCCCUAGAUUCCAAACUCGGUGUUACCAGUAUGCAGUCUCAUUGCUUCCUUAUGGCAGGACACAGAGUAAUUAAAUACAUGUUUUCAUAUUAUAUUUCCUUAUUAUAUUCUACUUUUUUUUUACCACAGUGUACAUUAUUUUUUAUCUUUACUAGAUCAAAAAAAGUCAUAUCUUCUUUAAAAAAUAAAAUGUGAUGGUGAC
rnacentral:lncRNA from 1 species